UCUUGGGAAAGGAAAGGGAAGGAGGAAGGGAAAGGGGAAGGGGAAGAGGAAGAGGAAGUAGCCACUGAGUUUUGUUGCUGUCACUUCCGGAAGAAGCCUCUCAUACAACGUCAAUGAUUUGAGUUCUGAAAAAGGGAAAAUAAUCUGGAACAUGGAAUCAAUUUCAAGCUUCAAAUGGAAUAUCUAAUGCUACAGACGGAAACAAAUAUCUUUACGUUGCUGCCAGGGCUAGGCAUUUUAUUCGAUGCUGCAAAUUAGUAAUAUUAGAAUGUAACAAUGGUAUUGGUCAGUUCUUCUUACAACAUUAUCCUGUGGUUAUAUACAUCCCUACGCUAACGGCCAUUUCCUUUUAAGAGUAAAAUGAUGUCCAUUUCCGUUUCACAGGAGCAAAGCAGGAAGCCCCUGGGAAACAAACCAACAUCAUGUGGAAUAUUCUGAGCCAUUGACAAUCCCCAAACUGCAGCUGGUUGUUGUAGGUCCUUCGCUGAUCCUUCACCCGUGAUGUUACCGGAGGAUCUUACCAAGGUGCCACAUUACUGCAACAGUGGGUUCUACUCCUUGACAAACCUCAUCGAUAGCAAAUUUGGCAUUCUUCCCCAUAACUUUGAUAAGCCUUGUGAAGUAGAGAUAUUGGAGCAGAUGAGAAAGUGAGAUGCAUGCGGGUAAAACCUUGACGUCCAGCGGUUUAUAAUAUGCAGUGUCCUCGAUGACGCAAUCAAGGGAAAUCAGCUUCUCGAGUCGUGUGAUGUCCUUAUCAUUGAGGGAGGAGUAGAACUCCUGAAUCACAUCUGUCAGGGGUGAAGAUGGUAAGGCAUUACCUCCACCGUAAGCACCGGUUGCAUUCGGCCCUGGUAUGGCUCGUAUGGGCUUUGCUGAACAUUGUUGCCUCUUCCUCCACUUGAUGCUGAUCUGCUGGUGGCGGGACUGCGGGCGCUGUAUUAGGUUGAAAGAGGGAGACUGGAAGGAGAUAUGUGUGAGGGCAGAAUUCAUGGUGUUUGGGUGUUUGCAUGCAGAAAGAGGUGAAGGCAUAGUGGAAUGAGGUAUGAUAUAGAGUUUGUGGGCAUUUCUAGUUGCUUGCUGGUUAGAGAAUGAAUCUGAGAGUAUAUAUAUAUAUAUAGCCUAUAGGGGAAGAAGCUUCCUGGCAUCAAAUGGAAUUUGCGUGGUGCACUGUUAAAGCAUAAACAUUUGUUGGUUACCAUAUCAAGUAAGGAAUCACUUCCACUAUAAUAUAUAGAGGCAGGCAAGGUAAGAAUCAUGCAUGCCAAUCUGUGAAAAGGUAUUGCUGCUUUGUUCCUUGGUUUUCCUUUUGCUAUAUAUGCUUUACAUUGAGUUUCCCUGAAGAAGAAGAAGAAGAAGAAGAAGGAUAAGCCUAAGACUGCCUUCUUGGAGGGUGGCUUGUGCUUGCUCGACUUCCCAACUUCUUUCUUUGAAUACUUUCCGCAUGGACGCCAGCUUACUUGGUUGCGCCAUAGGUAAUUGUUCCAAUGCCUCCUGCUCCUGCUCUUGCUGCUGCAAUCACAAAUGAGCCAGUACAGAGGCGGAGGCCAUGCCCAUCCAGUCUGACUUGUUGACGUACUGAAACCAUACUCUUGUAGAGUCAAUGCAGAGUUAUGGUAUGAUGGUAUCCACUUAUAGUUAGUUGACCAAGGAAUUCACCAUCCCACUCCCACGCACAACCAUGGAAUAACACAUAGGCACAAUAGUAAUAUUAGAAUGUGACAGUACUUUCUGUCUUCUUACAACAAUACACAUCCCUACAAACACCGACAGUCAUUUUCUUUUAAGAGUGAGAUGACGCCCUUUUUUGUUACACAUGCAGGAAAGCAAGAAUAGGAUGAAACAAACCAGCAUCACAGGGUAUCUUUGAGAAUUGCUAUUCUUCUGAUUUCCUGUGGGCUGUGGUAUUGCCUCCUUACAUCAACUCCUUGCAUAUGCUAUACAAAAUGAGGAGUCCCGUAAUCAAUCCACCCGCCACAAAUUUGAAAAGACGCGCGAUAAGCUCCACGCAGAGUUCGUAAAGCUUGACAAAGGACCCAAGUCCUUCUGUGUCCUGUAGAAUUUCUGCAUGUGUACUUCCAUGCUUAGCUGGGUUUUAAGUGGUUCUAGUUUAUCACUGUACUAAAAUGUUGAAUUUAGGAAGCACAUACUUUCAGCUGAUUCUGGAUUUUUGUCGAAUGAAUAGGCAACGGAAUGAAGUAUGUCCUGUAGAGAUUGGAAUAUUUCAUGAAAGGCAAUUAGCUAGAGGUAGUCAGACUAAGAAAUAUAAGUAUAUAGUUGGAUGCAGCAGCAGAAUUAUUUAUGCCUACCAAUGCCCGGUUUCCUUGUUUCACAGGUGACUCGUUGAAGAUAUCAACUUUCCUGCAGUGUGGCGUGGGUGAAAACAUUUAUUUAUUACUCCCUCCGUAAAGAAAUAUAAGAGCGUUUAGAAGGCUCUUAUAUUUCUUUACAGAGGGAGUACAUCUAAAAGAAAUAUAAUCUUCAAGAGAUGGAUGGAAAUAUAGAAACACGGUAUUAAUAUUAUAAAUAUGGAAAUUUUGAGAAUAUGUUUUCUUGAGAAUCUCUGCUACCUGAUAAGAAGCUCUUCUCCGUUUGGCGAACACGUGUAGAAACUAAGGCCUUGGGUAAACGGGAUGAUCUUACCCUUCCACUCUGCAACAAGGAUCUUACCAAGGUGCCACAUUACUACAGCAAUAGUGGGUUCUACUCCUUGACAAACCUCAUCGAUAGCAAAUUUGGCAUUCUCCCCCAUGGAUCCCAUGAGCCUUGCGAAGUAGCUCAUCGUCUUCUGCAUGCAGCAGCAAAGUUGUUUUUAUUGUUGUGAGUAUGAGAACUUGGUUCUAAUUUAUUUAUUUAUUUAUUUAUUGCCUUGAUGGUCAGAUAUGCAGAGAUAUUGGAGCAGAUGAGAGAAUGAGGUGCGGGUAAAACCUUGAAGUUGAGUGGUUUGUAAUAUGAAGCGUGCUCGACGGUGCAGUCAGGGUCAAUCAGCUCCAUGAGCCGUGCGAUGUCCUUGUCAUUGAGGGAGGAGUAGAACUCCUGAAUCGCAUCUGUCAAGGCAUUAUCUCCAUCUCCAUGGAAAGCUUUGUUGAGGCCCCUGGUUGCUUUUGGCCCUGGUAUUUAUCGUAUGGGCUUUGGCGAACAUUGUUGGCUCUUCCCCCACUUGGCGCUUAUCUUGUGUCGCCGGGACAACAGGCGCUGUUUUGGGUUGAGAGAGGGAGACUGGAAGGAGACAAGUGUGAGGGCAGCAUUCAUGGUGUUUGAUGAAUGCAGAAAGAUGGCCAAGGCAUAGGGGUAUGAGGUGGGAUAUAGCGUUGGUGGGCAUUUUUCGGUUGCUUGGUGGUCAGACAAGGAAUCCGAGUGAGUACAUUUGAGAUGGAAUAAUUAGCGUGGUGCAUUGCUAAAGCAUAAAGAUUCGUUACGAUAUGAUGAAGUAAGGAAUAUCUUCCUAGCUACAUAAUAAUGUACAGAGCCAGGUCAGGCAAUAAUCAUGCCAGUCAGUAAAAGGGUAUUUGCUUU